GGGGAAUAUUGCACAAUGGAGGAAACUCUGAUGCAGCGACGCCGCGUGAAGGAAGAAGUAUCUCGGUAUGUAAACUUCUAUCAGCAGGGAAGAAAAUGACGGUACCUGACUAAGAAGCCCCGGCUAACUACGUGCCAGCAGCCGCGGUAAUACGUAGGGGGCAAGCGUUAUCCGGAAUUAUUGGGCGUAAAGGGCUCGUAGGCGGUUCGUCGCGUCCGGUGUGAAAGUCCAUCGCUUAACGGUGGAUCCGCGCCGGGUACGGGCGGGCUUGAGUGCGGUAGGGGAGACUGGAAUUCCCGGUGUAACGGUGGAAUGUGUAGAUAUCGGGAAGAACACCAAUGGCGAAGGCAGGUCUCUGGGCCGUUACUGACGCUGAGGAGCGAAAGCGUGGGGAGCGAACAGGAUUAGAUACCCUGGUAGUCCACGCCGUAAACGGUGGAUGCUGGAUGUGGGGCCCGUUCCACGGGUUCCGUGUCGGAGCUAACGCGUUAAGCAUCCCGCCUGGGGAGUACGGCCGCAAGGCUAAAACUCAAAGAAAUUGACGGGGGCCCGCACAAGCGGCGGAGCAUGCGGAUUAAUUCGAUGCAACGCGAAGAACCUUACCUGGGCUUGACAUGUUCCCGACGGUCGUAGAGAUACGGCUUCCCUUCGGGGCGGGUUCACAGGUGGUGCAUGGUCGUCGUCAGCUCGUGUCGUGAGAUGUUGGGUUAAGUCCCGCAACGAGCGCAACCCUCGCCCCGUGUUGCCAGCGGAUUAUGCCGGGAACUCACGGGGGACCGCCGGGGUUAACUCGGAGGAAGGUGGGGAUGACGUCAGAUCAUCAUGCCCCUUACGUCCAGGGCUUCACGCAUGCUACAAUGGCCGGUACAACGGGAUGCGACGCGGCGACGCGGAGCGGAUCCCUGAAAACCGGUCUCAGUUCGGAUCGCAGUCUGCAACUCGACUGCGUGAAGGCGGAGUCGCUAGUAAUCGCGAAUCAGCAACGUCGCGGUGAAUGCGUUCCCG
rnacentral:rRNA from 1 species